rnacentral:lncRNA from 1 species
GUCUCUGUGGGUCUCUAUGGGGUUUCUGUGGGUCUCUAUGGGUCUCUAUGGGUCUCUAUGUGUAUCUGCCCCACAGUCGCUGGCUGCGGUGGCUGCUGCCCCACGGGAGGAGCUGGCACUGUGCCCAGGGAUCGGACCCCAAAAGGCCAAGCGUCUGUUUGAAGCCCUACACGAACCCUUCCUGAAGACCCCCAAAAACCCCACAACUGCCCUUUGAUCCUAUAAACCAACGAACCCAUAAACACAACAAGCGCCGCACUGCGACUGCAGCACCACUGCGGGGUCAAUGGGGCCAUAUUGGGGUCAAUGGGGCCAUAUUGGGGUCAAUGGGGACAUAUUGGGGUCAAUGGGGACACAUUGGGGUCAAUGGGGCCAUAUUGGGGUCAAUGGGGACACAUUGGGGUCAAUUGGGACACAUUGGGGUCAGUGGGUCCAUAUUGGGGUCAAUGGGGCCGUAUUGGGGACAAUGGGGACAUAUUGGGGUCAAUGGGGCCAUAUUGGGGUCAGUAGGGCCAUAUUGGUGUCAAUAGGGGCAUUUGGGGGUCAGUGGGCCACUUGGGGGUCAAUGGCGUCGCCUGGGGCUCAAUGGGGACACUUGGGGGUCAAUGGGGGCACUUGGGGGUCAAUGGGGGCACUUUGGGGUCAGUGGGGGCACAUGGGGGACAAUGGGGACACAUUGGGGUCAGUGGGGACACAUUGGGGUCAAUGGGGCCAUAUUGGGGUCAAUGGGGCCAUAUUGGGGUCAAUGGGGACACAUUGGGGUCAAUGGGGACAUAUUGGGGUCAAUGGGGCCAUAUUGGGGUCAAUGGGGACUCAUUGGGGUCAGUGGGAACACAUUGGGGUGAAUGGGGCCAUAUUGGGGUUAAUGGGACUGCAUUGGGGUCAAUGGGACACACUGGGGUCAAUAGGGUCAAUGGGAACACACUGGGGUCACAGUGGCUUUAAUAGGAUCACAUUGGGGUCACAUUGACUUUAAUGGGAUCACAUUGGGGUCAAUGGGGUCCCAUUGGCUUUAAUAGGAACACAUUGGGGUCAAUGGGAACACACUGGGAUCUAUAGGGUCACAUUGUCUUUAAUGGGACCCCAUUGGCUUUAAUAGGAUCACAUUGGGAUCAAUGGGGUCCCAUUGGCUUUAAUAGGAUCAUAUUGGGAUCAAUGGGGUCCCAUUGGCUUUAAU